rnacentral:lncRNA from 1 species
UUUUUUUUUUUUUUAAUUAUUUUAUUUAUUUUAUUCUCUUUGAGGCCUGAUUGUCUUAUUCUUCUAGUCUAGUUUAUUAUUUUUAUGAAUAAAAUGGGUAGCAUGCUAUAUUUUUUUAGAAAAAAAAUUAUAAAAGGUAGGGUUGUGUACUAAGACUUAGUUUGGUAUUGAGUUCUAUCUAACGCUAUUAGAUAAAAUGGAGUUGAAAUAAAAAUAUAUAGAGAUAUACUACUGCGUUCUCAGGUGGGAUCGUAGAAAUAUAUCAUAACUGAUUCAUCGUGGAACGCAAUAUUACAUUACAGAAACAAACAGAAUAUUUUUCCAUCGUAUUUUUUCACCGUACGUAAUGCAAUCACCCGUAAUUGCAAACUAA